rnacentral:rRNA from 1 species
AGAGUUUGAUCAUGGCUCAGAUUGAACGCUGGCGGCAGGCCUAACACAUGCAAGUCGAACGGUAACAGGAAGCAGCUUGCUGCUUCGCUGACGAGUGGCGGACGGGUGAGUAAUGUCUGGGAAGCUGCCUGAUGGAGGGGGAUAACUAUUGGAAACGGUAGCUAAUACCGCAUAAUGUCGCAAGACCAAAGAGGGGGACCUUCGGGCCUCUUGCCAUCGGAUGUGCCCAGAUGGGAUUAGCUUGUUGGUGGGGUAACGGCUCACCAAGGCGACGAUCCCUAGCUGGUCUGAGAGGAUGACCAGCCACACUGAACUGAGACACGGUCCAGACUCCUACGGGAGGCAGCAGUGGGGAAUAUUGCACAAUGGGCGCAAGCCUGAUGCAGCCAUGCCGCGUGUAUGAAGAAGGCCUUCGGGUUGUAAAGUACUUUCAGCGGGGAGGAAGGGAGUAAAGUUAAUACCUUUGCUCAUUGACGUUACCCGCAGAAGAAGCACCGGCUAACUCCGUGCCAGCAGCCGCGGUAAUACGGAGGGUGCAAGCGUUAAUCGGAAUUACUGGGCGUAAAGCGCACGCAGGCGGUUUGUUAAGUCAGAUGUGAAAUCCCCGGGCUCAACCUGGGAACUGCAUCUGAUACUGGCAAGCUUGAGUCUCGUAGAGGGGGGUAGAAUUCCAGGUGUAGCGGUGAAAUGCGUAGAGAUCUGGAGGAAUACCGGUGGCGAAGGCGGCCCCCUGGACGAAGACUGACGCUCAGGUGCGAAAGCGUGGGGAGCAAACAGGAUUAGAUACCCUGGUAGUCCACGCCGUAAACGAUGUCGACUUGGAGGUUGUGCCUUUGAGGCGUGGCUUCCGGAGCUAACGCGUUAAGUCGACCGCCUGGGGAGUACGGCCGCAAGGUUAAAACUCAAAUGAAUUGACGGGGGCCCGCACAAGCGGUGGAGCAUGUGGUUUAAUUCGAUGCAACGCGAAGAACCUUACCUGGUCUUGACAUCCACGGAAGUUUUCAGAGAUGAGAAUGUGCCUUCGGGAACCGUGAGACAGGUGCUGCAUGGCUGUCGUCAGCUCGUGUUGUGAAAUGUUGGGUUAAGUCCCGCAACGAGCGCAACCCUUAUCCUUUGUUGCCAGCGGUCCGGCCGGGAACUCAAAGGAGACUGCCAGUGAUAAACUGGAGGAAGGUGGGGAUGACGUCAAGUCAUCAUGGCCCUUACGACCAGGGCUACACACGUGCUACAAUGGCGCAUACAAAGAGAAGCGACCUCGCGAGAGCAAGCGGACCUCAUAAAGUGCGUCGUAGUCCGGAUUGGAGUCUGCAACUCGACUCCAUGAAGUCGGAAUCGCUAGUAAUCGUGGAUCAGAAUGCCACGGUGAAUACGUUCCCGGGCCUUGUACACACCGCCCGUCACACCAUGGGAGUGGGUUGCAAAAGAAGUAGGUAGCUUAACCUUCGGGAGGGCGCUUACCACUUUGUGAUUCAUGACUGGGGUGAAGUCGUAACAAGGUA